GAGGGGAAGGAGCAUAGCUCAGUGGUAGAGCAUCUGUAUUGCAUACAGAAGAUCCCAUGUUCAAUCCCUGGGCAUCUCUCA